GGAUACAACCGACGCAGACACUGUUAAGCAUGGUAAAAUAUUAUUUAUUUCUAUCAAGACCUGAAAUAAUAAUAAAUUACUAUCUGAUUAAGUUCUUAAAAGUUAUAUGUCUGUUAAUAUAAAGUAUUAUUAACAGCGACACUGUUCUGUGCUCGUAUAUGUCUUAAGCAGCUCAGGACACAGGACAGUCUGAUAAUGAAAUAAAGUUCAACAGUCAUAAGCCAUCAUUAACUUAUCUGAUAUCAUAAACUUAACACCUGAUGUUUUUUUCGAAGAACACUUCCUGAUUUCACACACACGACAACAACUAAGAAUCCCAGGUAAGUUUCAGCAGUCAGCCACAUAGUCAGUAUUAAAUAAAAUAACAAAUAAAAACAAAAAACAGUGAAGUAAAGUCUAACCUAUUCGAUCACAUCGAGGGUCCUCAUGUUGAUAGUUCCUCAAUUCAAGAACCAUGAAAAAAAAAAAACAGGAACUCCGUAAGACGCACGGAACGCAAGCGGGUUGAAAUUUCCCGGGAACAUUUUAAGAAGUUGCACCGCGUUCUUGAGGAUGAAUCUGAUUGGCUCUGAGGUUGAAUCCGAGCGUCCGUGAACAUGAAUCUGAUUGGCUGGGAGGAUCUUUAAACUACAAGGCGGAAGGAUUUGGAGAUGCAAAAAUGACAACAGAAGUCGAGUUUCUUCGAGAUCAAGUGAAUCGUUUAAACUCUGUCCUGGGUCGAUAUCAGGAUGAAUUUCCUCCUCCCUCCUCGGUGUCACAGGUUAGAUUUAUAAUUAAAUGGCACUUUUAUUUGUUGAAUUAUAGAUAUCGGCAUUAUUCUCCUGUGGUCCAGAAUGAAUGUUUGGUUAAGUACAAAUAGAAGAGUUCAUAGCUAAAUAAAUACAAAUUCUGUUAUCAUCUCACACUCACGUUGUUCCAAACCUGUAUGACUUUUGUGUAAUGCAAAAGAUGUUAAGGUAGAAUGUGAGAACUAACAGCUCGAGUCACCAUUCACUGUUACUGCAUUAUUUCCCAUACAAAGAAAGUGAAGGGUUUCUAAACAGGCUUGGAAUAACAAGAGAGUAAAUUAUAACAGAUUGUAAAUUUUCACCAUAUUUAAGUCAGAGCAAUAGGGGAAAAAAUAAACAGAAAAUUUCUAAAAUAAACGUAAUUCUUAAUUCACCCUUCCACAAAUUAAGCCCUUAAAAGGUCUUAAAACGAAGCAGAAACUCUUAAAUUCAUAGUUACGUCAUUAAAUGUUGCAUGCACUGCAGAAGAAUGAAUAUCUUCCUCAGUAUUUUUGCCGUUUUCCAAAACAAAUAUCUAAACAUCCUUAAAUCAAGACACAUUUACUCAAGAUGCAGAAUGAACUUAUAAAGUCUUGUUUUCAGAGUAAAUUGAACAAAAUUGAGUUUAUGCUUAAAACAAGAACAAAUGUCCGUCAAUGGGUAUGAAAUCU
rnacentral:lncRNA from 1 species